rnacentral:rRNA from 1 species
CACGUAGGGUGCGAGCGUUGUCCGGAAUUAUUGGGCGUAAAGAGCUCGUAGGCGGUCCGUCACGUCGGGCGUGAAAUUCCAGGGCUCAACCUCAGGCCUGCAGUCGAUACGAGCAGACUAGAGUGUUGCAGGGGAGACUGGAAUUCCUGGUGUAGCGGUGAAAUGCGCAGAUAUCAGGAGGAACACCGGUGGCGAAGGCGGGUCUCUGGGCUGACACUGACGCUCAUGCACGAAAGCGUGGGGAGCAAACAGG